CAGCCGCCACGGGAAUACGUAGGUGGCAAGCGUUGUCCGGAAUUAUUGGGCGUAAAGGGCUCGCAGGCGGUUUCUUAAGUCUGAUGUGAAAGCCCCCGGCUCAACCGGGGAGGGUCAUUGGAAACUGGGAAACUUGAGUGCAGAAGAGGAGAGUGGAAUUCCACGUGUAGCGGUGAAAUGCGUAGAGAUGUGGAGGUACACCAGUGGCGAAGGCGACUCUCUGGUCCGUAACUGACGCUGAGGAGCGAAAGCGUGGGGAGCGAACAGGAUUAGAUACCCCCGUAGUCCCUGUCUCUUAUAA
rnacentral:rRNA from 1 species